UACUCCAGAUAUUUUCAUUUCGCUCUCUUUCUCUCUCCUUCUACCGCUUUCUUAUUCUUCAUUCUUCUCUCUCACUUCGCUCAUCGAAGCUUCAGCGAUCAAUGGCGGAUUCUGUUUUUCCAUCUUUCAACUCAGCCGAGUUUCCAUCUUCCGAAUUCGUUUGAACGCUGAGAAACCGCGAGAAAACAAAGGUUACUUUUGUGAUGAUUUUUCAAUGGAGACUUGCGUUUGGAUCUCAGGUGAGAAACACUGAUCUCCAGGGAAUGCAUCAAUGCAAUUGUAGUCUGCUAAAGCAAUCAAAACAUUCUGAUGUUAAUAGUUUUUGAUCAUGAUUAAUGGUAUACUAGCUAAAUGAUCAAAAUCAUACCCUAGUUUUGUAGUUCCUGAAGGAGCCUUGUAGUGUUGCUGCUGUGGCUGGCUGAGCUGGAGAUUCACAGGGUUGUUACUCGGAGAGGUAAAAUACAUCGAAAACAUUCCUAAGGAAUUAUCAGUAUUCUUUGAAACUAAAAUCUUACUCGAGAUUUUCCUUCUUAACUCUUAAACAAUGAAGUAAACCUCAAUGAUUGUCUCACUCUGAACAUUAUUGGACUAUUUGAACUUAGAGAAGUAUUGGCUACACUGUAUUACUGUGUGGCGGAAAAGUUCUAUUGCACAUCUUUCCAGUGGUGUCUUUAUCACCAUGCAAAAUCUGAACCAACUAGGUCGUGCAUCAUUCUAACCAUCUUCACCUGUGUUAUGUUAUCUUUCUAGCAGGUUUCAUUUAGUCUGUUUAUCUUAUGUGUCAGUGGCUUUUUCAACAACCGUUUAUUAAACACGCAUUUAUAUUUUGUUUUCUUGAAGUGUUUGUUUGUAACAUGUGAGUGUUGUAAUUCCUUAGAUAUUUAACACAUUAGAUAUUGGCCUGAUAAAAGUUUGAACGAUGAGGAAUCCUCCUUAAAGGCUAAAGGCAAUUAGAAUAUCGGUCAA